rnacentral:rRNA from 1 species
UUCCAGACUCCUACGGGAGGCAGCAGUGGGGAAUAUUGCACAAUGGGGGAAACCCUGAUGCAGCGACGCCGCGUGAGUGAAGAAGUAAUUCGUUAUGUAAAGCUCUAUCAGCAGGGAAGAAGCAAGACGGUACCUGACUAAGAAGCCCCGGCUAACUACGUGCCAGCAGCCGCGGUAAUACGUAGGGGGCGAGCGUUAUCCGGAUUCACUGGGUGUAAAGGGAGCGUAGACGGCCAAGCAAGCCAGGGGUGAAAGCCCGGGGCCCAACCCCGGGACUGCCCUUGGAACUGCUUGGCUGGAGUGCGGGAGGGGCAGGCGGAAUUCCUGGUGUAGCGGUGAAAUGCGUAGAUAUCAGGAGGAACACCGGUGGCGAAGGCGGCCUGCUGGACUGCGACUGACGUUGAGGCCCGAAAGCGUGGGGAGCAAACAGGAUUAGAUACCCGAGUAAU